AAAUGCUUUGGUCUGCUUUGCGCAGUGGCAGUAUCGUAGCCAAUGAGGUUUAUCCGAGGCGCGAUUAUUGCUAAUUGAAAACUUUUCCCAAUACCCCGCCGUGACGACUUGAAAUAUAGUCGGCAUUGGCAAUUUUUGACAGUCUCUUCGGAGACUGAUAUUUUGUCGUUACCAAAGGUAGAA